AUUGAACGCUGGCGGCAGGCCUAACACAUGCAAGUCGAGCGGAUGAAGGGAGCUUUCUCCUGGAUUCAGCGGCGGACGGGUGAGUAAUGCCUAGGAAUCUGCCUGGUAGUGGGGGAUAACGUCCGGACACGGGCGCUAAUACCGCAUACGUCCUGAGGGUGAAAGUGGGGGAUCUUCGGACCUCACGCUAUCAGAUGAGCCUAGGUCGGAUUAGCUAGUUGGUAGGGUAAAGGCCUACCAAGGCGACGAUCCGUAACUGGUCUGAGAGGAUGAUCAGUCACACUGGAACUGAGACACGGUCAAGACUCCUACGGGAGGCAGCAGUGGGGAAUAUUGGACAAUGGGCGAAAGCCUGAUCCAGCCAUGCCGCGUGUGUGAAGAAGGUCUUCGGAUUGUAAAGCUCUUUAAGUUGGGAGGAAGGGCAGUAAGUUAAUACCUUGCUGUUUUGACGGUACCAACAGAAUAAGCACCGGCUAACUUCGUG
rnacentral:rRNA from 1 species